CCUACGGGUGGCAGCAGUGGGGAAUAUUGCACAAUGGGGGAAACCCUGAUGCAGCGACGCCGCGUGAGUGAAGAAGUAUUUCGGUAUGUAAAGCUCUGUCAGCAGGGAAGAAAAUGACGGUACCUGACCAAGACGCCCCGGCUAACUCCGUGCCAGCCGCCGCGGUAAUACGUAGGGGGCAAGCGCUAUCCGGAUUUACUGGGUGUAAAGGGAGCGUAGACGGCAGGGCAAGUCUGGAGUGAAAGGCGGGGGCUCAACCCCCGGACUGUCCUGGAAACUGCGAGGCUGGAGUGCAGGAGAGGUAAGUGGAAUUCCUAGUGUAGCGGUGAAAUGCGUAGAUAUUAGGAGGAACACCAGUGGCGAAGGCGGCUUACUGGACUGUAACUGACGUUGAGGCGCGAAAGCGUGGGGAGCAAACAGGAUUAGAUACCCUGGUAGUC
rnacentral:rRNA from 1 species